CACGUAGGGCGCAAGCGUUGUCCGGAAUUAUUGGGCGUAAAGAGCUCGUAGGCGGUUUGUCGCGUCUGCUGUGAAAACCCGAGGCUCAACCUCGGGCCUGCAGUGGGUACGGGCAGACUAGAGUGCGGUAGGGGGAGAUUGGAAUUCCUGGUGUAGCGGUGGAAUGCGCAGAUAUCAGGAGGAACACCAAUGGCGAAGGCAGAUCUCUGGGCCGUAACUGACGCUGAGGAGCGAAAGCGUGGGGAGCAAACAGG
rnacentral:rRNA from 1 species